rnacentral:rRNA from 1 species
UGGGGAAUUUUGCGCAAUGGGGGAAACCCUGACGCAGCAACGCCGCGUGGAGGAUGAAGUCCCUUGGGACGUAAACUCCUUUCGACCGGGACGAUAAUGACGGUACCGGUGGAAGAAGCCCCGGCUAACUCCGUGCCAGCAGCCGCGGUAAUACGGGGGGGGCAAGCGUUGUUCGGAAUUACUGGGCGUAAAGGGCUCGUAGGCGGCCAACUAAGUCCGACGUGAAAUCCCCAGGCUUAACCUGGGAACUGCGUCGGAUACUGGAUGGCUUGAAUUCGGGAGAGGGAUGCAGAAUUCCAGGUGUAGCGGUGAAAUGCGUAGAUAUCUGGAGGAAUACCGGUGGCGAAGGCGGCAUCCUGGACCGACAUUGACGCUGAUGAGCGAAAGCUAGGGGAGCAAAC